CCACAAGUGCAUGACUGCCCACAAGUAAUAAUUCUCUGUCGUCGCGUUCUGCGUCCUUGUGUCCUACACACUUCGCAAGACAUAUUCCAGCCAGCCGUGGCGUGUGUCGGGGCCCGCUCGUGCCUUUUUGAGUCGUCUAACGGCCGCCGCGGCAACAGUUUCUUCUCCCGCAGUCCCCCUCCUGAGCCCCAACUACGGAAGGCGCGGCGCCGUUCGGCCGUCGCCAAACAUCGCCACUCGCCCUCGAGCAGCCUCUCAACGGCACCCCCCGCGAGAAUUAUGUGGCUGUCGCCUUCGCCGGCUUGAGACUGACCGCUCGCCACUCCACCCCCACCCUCCUUCCCUUCUCCCCCGUGUCCACCACCUAGCAGGAGGCGUCCGACGCCGUUCGCAUUUCAGCUGGCGUGCAUUUGCUUGCGCGUGGCGGACCUUCGCUUGGUUUCGCUGCAGCUCCAGCGUUCUGUCUGCGUAUCUGCGUAGGUCAUGAGGCGGCAGCGGAGAACCUGAACUGCCGCGCGAGGCGCUGCUAGCGGGGGCCUUGGCCCUCGCGCGCCUUCGGCUCCGUCGCAGGUGCCUCCGGGCCUCGCCCCCUGGAGGUCGGGAGACAGCAGAAAACGGCG
rnacentral:lncRNA from 1 species